ncrna:unclassified sequences RT-10 RNA
GCUCUGCGACGGCUACGGCCUCGCAGGCCGACCGCUUCAUGGUGGUCAGCCUCAUCGACCUGCUUCGGCGAAUACAUUCAGAGGUUCGGUAAAGCGGGGAGUAGCAGUGUCGAAACCCGCGACCGAC